UUGGCAGCAUGGUGGCUUAGUGGUUAGCACUGUUGUCUCACAGCAAGAAGGUCAUGGGCUCAAUUCCCACUUGUGGUCUUUCUGUAUUGCGUUUGCAUGAUCUACCUGUGUUUGCCUGGGUUUCCUCCGGGUGCUCCAGUUUCCUCCCACAUCCAAAGACAUGCGGAUUAGGUGGACUGGA